rnacentral:rRNA from 1 species
UACGGAGGGUGCAAGCGUUAUCCGGAUUCACUGGGUUUAAAGGGUGCGUAGGUGGGCAGGUAAGUCAGUGGUGAAAUCUCCGAGCUUAACUCGGAAACUGCCAUUGAUACUAUCUGUCUUGAAUACCGUGGAGGUCAGCGGAAUAUGUCAUGUAGCGGUGAAAUGCUUAGAUAUGACAUAGAACACCAAUUGCGAAGGCAGCUGGCUAGACGAAUAUUGACACUGAUGCACGAAAGCGUGGGGAUCAAACAGG